CUGGGCUUUGCGCUCGCGCCCGAGCCGGGCCCUCUCGGCAGCCUCCGGCCGGGCAGCUUCUCGGGCAUGAGUGGGGCCCUUCGCUGUGGCCAGCUGCCGCGCCGCACCCCAACUCUUGCCCCGCGCCGGGAACAUGCCCCUGGCCGCCUACUGCUAUCUGCGGAUCGUUGGUAGGGGCAGCUACGGGGAGGUGACGCUCGUGAGGCACCGGCGGGACGGCAGGCAGUAUGUCAUCAAAAAACUGAACCUGCGAAAUGCCUCCAGCCGAGAGCGGCGAGCUGCUGAACAAGAGGCCCAGCUCUUGUCCCAGCUGAAGCAUCCCAAUAUUGUCACCUACAAGGAGUCCUGGGAGGGAGGGGACGGUCUGCUGUACAUCGUCAUGGGCUUCUGCGAAGGAGGUGAUCUGUACCGAAAGCUCAAGGAGCAGAAAGGGCAGCUCCUGCCUGAAAGUCAGGUGGUGGAGUGGUUUGUUCAGAUCGCCAUGGCUCUGCAGUAUUUACAUGAAAAACACAUCCUUCACCGAGAUCUGAAAACUCAGAAUGUCUUCCUAACGAGAACAAACAUCAUCAAAGUGGGUGACCUAGGAAUUGCCCGAGUGUUAGAGAACCACUGUGAUAUGGCUAGCACCCUCAUUGGUACACCCUACUAUAUGAGCCCUGAAUUGUUCUCAAACAAACCCUACAACUAUAAGUCUGAUGUUUGGGCUCUGGGAUGCUGUGCUUAUGAAAUGGCCACCCUGAAGCAUGCUUUCAAUGCAAAAGACAUGAAUUCUUUAGUUUAUCGGAUUAUUGAAGGAAAGCUGCCACCAAUGCCGAAAGAUUAUAGCCCAGAGCUGGCAGAACUGAUACGGACAAUGCUGAGCAAAAGGCCUGAGGAAAGACCCUCUGUAAGGAGCAUCCUGAGGCAGCCUUACAUAAAGCGCCAAAUCUUCUGCUUUUUGGAGGCCACAAAGGCAAAAACCUCCAAAAAUAAUAUUAAAAAUGGUGACUCUAAAUCCAAGCCUGUUUCUUCAAUGUUUUCUGGAAAGGCUGAAUCAAAUCAUGAAGUAGUUCCCCCACAACCACAGUCUUCUGAGGGCUCCAAGGCAUAUGUAAUGGAUGAAGACAAAGGUUUAUCCCAGGAGAAACACAUAGUCAUUGACCCCUUGAAGACACCUACAAGUCUGAAAGGCCACACCUGCAAAGCAGACAUGAGCAGUACCACAGAAUCACUAGCUACAAUCAGUAGAGUGAACAUUGACAUCUUACCUGCAGAAAGGAACUUGAGCGACGGGUUAGUUCAAGAGAAUCAGCCAAGAUACAUAAAUGUCUCUAAUGAGCUAGAAGGUAAAUGUAAUAUUUCUCAAGUGAAGGAGAGGCUGCAGGAUAACACUAAGUCCAGCACUCGACCUAGAAACCUAAUUCCUACGUGGUCCUCUAACAGUGUCAUUGAGGAAAGAAAAGAGAAGCCAAUGCAGCCCCUAAACAAAGACCAAAAGCCAAAGGGCCAGGAUCAAGUUGCCGGUGAGUGGGUUAUGGAAAAACAAGACAGAAUCCACCCAGGUUUACAGCCACACAGCUCUGGGUCUGAACCUUCCCUGUCUCGACAGCGACGGCAGAAGAAAAGAGAACAGACUGAACACAGUGGGGAAAAAGGACAGUUCCAGGAGGCUCUGCCACAACGUUUGCCUUCUCUUCCUGCUGUUGGAAAAGGGGAUGUCACAUUAACCCAAAAGGAUGCUGAAAACCAAAAUAGAGUGAUCACUGAGUCUGUGAGCAGUUCCAGGAGCAGUGAGAUGUCAUCAUCAAAGGACAGACCAUUAUCAGCAAGAGAGAGGAGGCGACUAAAGCAGUCACAGGAAGAGAGAUUCCCCUCAGGCCCUUCAGUGAGGAGAGCUUCUGUGAGUACACCGGGGCCAGGGCAGCCACAAGAGGAAAGCCAGCUCACCCCUGCUCCAAGGUUGUCUUCUGACCGAAGCUUUGCUCAGAAAAGGAAACUUACCCAUUGUUUCUCUGAGGAGGAGUUAAGUUCUUCUACAAGUUCAACUGAUAAAUCAGAUGGGGAUUCCAGGGAAGGGAAAGGUCAUUCAAGUGAAAUGAGUGAUUUGGUACAAUUGAUGACUCAGACCCUAAAAUUGGACUCUAAAGAGAACUGUGAGGAUCUCCCAGUACCAGAUCCAGUGUCAGAAUUUAAACUUCAUCGGAAGUAUCGGGACACACUGAUACUUCAUGGGAAAGUUGCAGAACAGGCAGAGGAACUCCAUUUUAAAGAGCUACCUUUAGGUGAUCAGUUUAUUCUUUUACAGCAAACUGGAGAGCAUGUUUAUUGGAGAAAUGUGUCAAACCAAGGAGCAACUAAUGCUUGCAAAUUGUUUUGUCUUUUUAUUCUUUCAUUUGGAUAUCUCCAUAAAAGCUAUCAUUCCAGGUUCUGAAAAGAUCAGAAGAAUAGUUGAAAUCUUGAGAGCUGAUGUAGUCCAGGGCCUGGGGAUUCAGCUUUUAGAGCAGGUAUAUGAACUUUUGGAAGAGGAGGAUGAAUUGAAGAGAGAGAUUUCUCCAUGAGGGAAAACAUUUCUUAAACACUUAUUCCUUUUCCACUUAAGCAAUUUAUAAGUAGAGUCCAGCUCCUUUUAGUUAUGUUGGACAUAUUUCUCUCCUCAAGUUUGGCUUCUUGUACAUCAAGAUAUUGGUUGUCUUCCCAUGUUUCAAAUGUAUGUUUAUGUAUUACGUUAGUUUUUAUGAGGGGUAUUGCCCACCUAGGAAACAGUUUUUAUAAAAUAAGUAUUGAUUAGUAAAUUUUCACCUCUGUAUUCAAGAGACUUUAAAAAUGAAUUCUGCUCCAGAAAUGUUGUUUUUUUUUAAUAAUUAAAAAUGUAUCUUCUCGCCUGGCUGGUAUGGCUAUGUGGUUGAGUGGCGACCCAUGAACCAGGA